rnacentral:lncRNA from 1 species
AGGGUCAGGUAAUGUCAUGGCAGCCUGUAAUCAUGGGUUGCUGUUGUUACUUACAUAAUAAUAGUAUGGAAUCUUGGCAAAAAAGGAGCUCUCAGAACAGCAAUAGACUUUCAAGAGGAGGAACUCACAUUUCUGCAAAAGAAAGAGGCCGUAAAUGAAAAGCAGCUUGGAGAGAAUGAGCCCACAUGCAUGAGACACAGCACAGAACUCACACCCUUCUUCCUCAAGUUUCUCUAACAUGUGUGGCUCUUGGAAACAGACAUGUCAUGGCUGAGUUAUUUUUUGUGCAAACAAGGUGUGGUGUUCUAUCAGUGCCAUUGAAGUGUGGCGCGGAAGAGCAGGCUCCUUUCAGUACAUUCCCCUGCCCUUGCGCUUGUUCAUGGUUCUCACGUGUGAGGGGAAAGGAGAAGGCUUGGGGUUUGCAUCUGAUUUACCAACUGUUCCUCAGGACACAUCUGCCUCUCCAGGACCUCAGAUUCCUGACAACACUGUUGGCUUCCCGGAGACUCCUUCAUCCUGCAGAAGAUGCAAUUCCACGGGGUCCUGAGAGAUUGGACAUGGGUGAGCAGAGGGCAGGGAGCUUGGAAAUGGCCACCGUUCCUGUGGCUACCACUGUCUUCCUUCAGGAAUGGCUGAUGGGCUCAGUCAUGGGAGGGAGGGGAACACCUCCCAAAGUAUGCAAGAUUCACACAUGGGGUCUCCAGCCAUUGGCCUUUCCCUCGCAUCAGUGGUAGCAGCAGGCAGGAAGUCUGAGGAAGGUGGUGUCACCGUGAGUGUGGACUCUCCUUUCUCUGUCUGAGCUGCUGGGAGCACAGGGAACCCUGUCUGUCAGGCCUGAGUUUCAGAAACUGGGUUUUCAGCCCCAGGGACCUCGGGCCUCCAACAGCCCAAUGAGAUCGUGCUUCCUGUCUUGUAUGAAUAAGCACAAAAUAUAAACAACUGGUGUUUCUUGUCUCCAACCCACCCAGCUGCAAAACUUCAAGGAAAGGACAAUGCCGGUAUGUAGGCAAAGGUCCCCAACACUGCCCUCAGCAUAUCAGAGGAGGUGUCCCUGAGAGCACAGAGGACAUUAACCUCCUGCUGCCAGCGUCUCCCACUGCUCUCUGGAUCACACUGCUGGGUCCCAGUACCCGAUGAACCUGCUCUUUCCCCAUCUAGACACAAGCCGGCACUCUGCUGGAGAGUGCGCAUGGCAGGUGGAAGAUCCCUUAAAGGACAAAAAGAGAGACGCCUGCAUGUCACUUACCUCUCAGCUUCCACAGGCGGGAUGUGACAGUCCUCAUGGAAGACUCUUGAACAAGUGUCGCAACAGAACAGCUCCCCUCCGUCCCGGCACACCUCACACUCAUCCAGGUUUCUCAUCUAGAAGAUAAAACAGUGUCCACGUCACUGGGAACCGCAAGAUUCAGGAAGGCCAACCCUCUGGGCAACUAGAACACACUGCCUUUGUGUGAACCUGCAUGGACAGGCAAAUGCUUCUCCCUGGGAUAUGAAGGAAAAACAUGGCAUGGAGAUUUCAGAACAAAUCCUGGUCUGCAGUGAAGUUCAGGAGGAAGGGGUAUGGGUCAGAAUUGAAAAGUCUUCCUUAUGAAACCAGAGAUUGUAAUGAAGAAAGACUAGCAACAAAGCAAGAUGAUGAUUUUAUAGGAAUCUGAAUAAUUUCCUUAUUCUGCAGAUAAAACCAGGUUUUGAAA